rnacentral:rRNA from 1 species
UACGUAGGUGGCAAGCGUUGUCCGGAUUUAUUGGGUUUAAAGGGUGCGUAGGCGGUCUUUUAAGUCAGUGCUGAAAUAUCCCGGCUUAACCGGGAGGGUGGCAUUGAUACUGAAGGACUUGAGUACAGUCGAGGUAGGCGGAAUUGACGGUGUAGCGGUGAAAUGCUUAGAUAUCGUCAAGAACACCGAUAGUGUAGACAGCUUACUAGGCUGAAACUGACGCUGAGGCACGAAAGCGUGGGGAUCAAACAGG